rnacentral:lncRNA from 1 species
AUAAUAAAAGCAAAGAAAAAAAAGAAAUAGCACCAAGCUUAUCUCAGCUUACGACUCUCACAGUCUGGCUUCAAUCUUUCUUUCUUCAAUCUCUUUAUCCUACCAAAAAGAUGAACUAUUGGCCAAUAGAUUCCAAAGGUUAUGACCCUUUGAAUUCUUAACCAUUUAUUCUACUAACAACCUAUUGUUACCAACUAAACUACCUAACCAUCA